rnacentral:lncRNA from 1 species
UCUCUCCAUAUAUGUAUAUAUUAUAUGUGUGUGUUGUUUGUUUUUCUUGAUAGAGUGUCUCUGUGUAGCCCUGGCUGUCCUAGAAGUUACUCUAUAGACCAGACUGGCUUCGAACUCAGAGAACUACCCACCUCUGCCUCCCUAGUGCUGAGAUAAAAGGCAUGCAGUACACCCAGCUAUAAACCUUUUUUUUUUUUUUUUUAAGAAAGCCUUGUGGGCUGGGAGUGUAGCUCAUCAAGAGAAUCCUGAGUUCAUUCCUCAGUACCACAAGAAAAAAAAAGUUAAUUUAACUGUAAAAUCUUAAGACAUUCUGAGAAGCUAAUGUAAGGAGUGAGAGUCAGGAACCAUAUGGCUGGAUUGAACUUCUACUUGACCAGCUCACUGUAUCUGUGUGAUUGAGACAGCCAACUCUUAAACAGGUGGUCCCUCAGCUUCAACCUCUCUACCUGUACAGUAGGAGGGAUUACAAUGGUACAUUUUUUUUAUAUGUAUUUAGAAAAGACAACAUGGCGGCUGGCGAGAUGGCUCAGCAGCUAAGAGCACUGACUGCUCUUCCGAAGGUCCUGAGUUCAAAUCCCGGCAACCAAGUGUUUGGUACCCAAUCCCAGUACAAAUGUUCCCCUGUAUCCAUAGGAAAUCUUUUGGCAUCUAUAAGUCAGGGUCUAUAAAGCCAUGCAGGUCUGAUCUUCUCUGAAGCUUCCUUCUCUGUAAAAUGGGGAGAGCGGGGGAAAAAUACUGUCACCAGGGUUCCUUCGGGUGUCCCAGGUGAAAAAGGCAAAUUCAGACUCCAUCCAGCAUGAGAGCGACCAAUCCUCAGGAGACUGGGGAGGAGGCCUCACAUCUUCAGGGCAAAGGAAAGAACUCCGUGCUGGUACAUAAGGAGCAAGACGAUUUUCUUCUGUGUUAGGGUGGUUUUAUUAUUAUUGUUGCUUGUUUGUCUGUCUGUUUGUUUGUUGCUGGGAUUUGGAAUUUGGGGGUGUUGGGGAGGUUGAGAAAGGAAGAGAGAGCUCCUAGUUCCCACCCUAUCCAAACCCAGGGAAGCAGAUUCAGAGGCUUGGACCAGGCUAAACAGAAUGAACACAGAGGAGCAUAUUGGGAGUGCUGCAGUGAGUCAUGCGUGCUGAUCCGCUUUAAUGAGCCUGAUGUGGUCCUGAGGAGCCUGAACAGGGCAGACCUAUCUGUAUCUGAUGUGCCAUGUGGAGUAAAUGCCUUGUGGGUGAUGGGACCUCAGGCCAAUCCUGUAAGUCUAGGCCCACAGUGGGUGUUGUUUGUUCUUUAGGUGACCUCCAGGGAGCCUGAUUUUAUCUACGUUGUUGAUAUUUCUUUCUUUUGUCUGCCACUGUUCACUUCUAACCCUUGACAGUUUGUCUGGAGGCUUUGAAAGCCUAGUGAAGAGGGUCUGGGUGUGGUGGCAAAUGCCUACAAGAGGAUGAGACAGGAGGAUCAUGAGUUGGAGGCUAGGUUGAGCUAGAGGGCUAGAAACCACAGGGCUAGAGAGCUGGCUCAGGGAGAAAGAGCUAUUUUCUUGCAAAGGACUAGAGUCCAUAUCCCAGCACCUGAGCAAGUAGCUCACAACCACCUACAGCUCCAGUCCCAGGAGAGCCAGUGCCCUCUUCUGGCCUCUACAUACCUGUGCAUAAAUAUGUGCAGACAUGUAAUUACACAUAAGGGAAGAAAGAAAGAGAGGAAGAAAGAAAGAAAGAAAG